AUGACCCUCAAUCUCCGUGAAGGUGGUCUUUGGUUUUGCAGCUCAGAUUUUCUAUUGCUGUUGAUCUGCAUGAGAAGGGAUCAGUGUCCUGCUACUUGUCUGCAGCAGCUGCCUCAUAUCUGCUACCUUAUGGAUCCCUUCCAACUCAGGAUAUCCUAUGAUUCCUCCUUCAUCAUCCUUCUGCUGAACCUGGGACCUCCACAGCGAGCAGCUAAAGAAGGGAUGGAGCUGCAGCAGAAGCAUUCCUGCUCAUAUCAGACAGCUGUGGAUGGCAAUGGGUCAUUUCACUCCAUUAUGGUUUCUGGCAAGGGAAAAAAAAUACCUAAAGGGAAAAUAGCAGAUCCUGUCUGUUUGACAGCCACGGUGGUCUCUGCCUCCUCAGAAAACAGCAGCAAUGAGCACUGCGGGGACAACUCGCUCCUUGUUCAGUUCCAGUGGAUGUCUUCGUUGCCAGGUUCUAGCUGCAUCAUCUGUCACAGUGAGAAGCAAAAUGACGAAGAGAGAAAAGAUCAGUAA
rnacentral:lncRNA from 1 species